rnacentral:rRNA from 1 species
UUGCUGAAUUAUUCACCCUUGUCUUUUGCGUACUUCUUGUUUCCUUGGUGGGUUCGCCCACCACUAGGACAAACAUAAACCUUUUGUAAUUGCAAUCAGCGUCAGUAACAAAUUAAUAAUUACAACUUUCAACAACGGAUCUCUUGGUUCUGGCAUCGAUGAAGAACGCAGCGAAAUGCGAUAAGUAGUGUGAAUUGCAGAAUUCAGUGAAUCAUCGAAUCUUUGAACGCACAUUGCGCCCUUUGGUAUUCCAAAGGGCAUGCCUGUUCGAGCGUCAUUUGUACCCUCAAGCUUUGCUUGGUGUUGAGCGUCUUGUCUCUAGCUUUGCUGGAGACUCGCCUUAAAGUAAUUGGCAGCCGGCCUACUGGUUUCGGAGCGCAGCACAAGUCGCACUCUCUAUCAGCAAAGGUCUAGCAUCCAUUAAGCCUUUUUUUUCAACUUUUGACCUCGGAUCAGGUAGGGAUACCCGCUGAACUUAAGCAUAU